ACAGAGGUGGCAAGCGUUGUUCGGAAUUACUGGGCGUAAAGGGCGCGUAGGCGGUUCGAUAAGUCCCGUGUGAAAUCCCUCGGCUCAACUGAGGAAUGGCACGGGAAACUGACGGGCUUGAGUUCGGGAGAGGGAAGCGGAAUUCCGGGUGUAGCGGUGAAAUGCGUAGAUAUCCGGAGGAACACCGGUGGCGAAGGCGGCUUCCUGGACCGAUACUGACACUGAGGCGCGAAAGCGUGGGUAGCGAACAGGA
rnacentral:rRNA from 1 species